AACUGGACCUGGCAGUCCAGAUGAGGUUGUACAAACAUCAAGAGGAAGUGAGAACAAAGAAAAUGACGGUGAAGAUGUUCCAAGGCGUUACAACCUUCGAUGGAGGAAACCUGUUGACCGCUACCAAGCUCCUAUGGAAAUAAGACAAAGAGAUCGAGAGAGGACUAACUCGGGCCAGCCCUGUUCUGUCAG
rnacentral:lncRNA from 1 species